UGUUUCACUUGAAGAAAACCUAAUAGAGAAUUAAAAGUCAUUCAUAGAGAUUCCCUUGACAAUUUGUCUUAGUACCUUUUCGGUCUUUCAAAUUUUUAAUGUAUAUUCAUAAUCUUAUUUUAGAAUAUAUUGGUGUGAUACUGAUGGAAAAGGGGGGGGGGGCAGGGUUCAUCACCCACAGAUAAUUUGAGAAGCAAUGAUGUAGCCAACAUUAGAAUCAAGAAAUUCUAUUCAUGGAAAGGCAUACAAGGAUGAAAAGCCACAGAAUGGGGGGAAAAUGUUUGCAGCACAUUAAUUAUUAAGAAAGUUAUAAGAAUCAAUUCAAAUAAAAAUGGGCAAAAAACAUGAACAGACAUUUUACAUGAGGGAUACUGAUGUCUAGUGAACAUGUGAGGAGUGUUCGGCCUCACUAUCACCAGGGAAGAGACUGUUAAAACCACAAGGAAAGCCAGACAGCCACCAGAUCUCCAGAAACAAGGAAGUCUCAUCAUUCCCAGCGUUGGUGAGGACUCGGAGCCGCAGGAGCUCUCUGGUGGGCGAGCAAGCCAGUGAGAGCCUUUGGAACACUCUGGAAGCAUUUGCUAGAGCCGAACAUAAAGCCGGGCCAUGAGCAGUAAUUUCAUUCAGAGACCUAGUCCUAGGAACCAAGGAGAAUGUGUGCACGAACCCAGUGAUGAAAGCAGCAUGAUCUGUGAUGAAAGCAAAGUGAAAACAAGCCAGUGGCCACCACCAGGGGACUAGGUAAGUGGAUGUGCGCUGUUCACACUAUGGAACAGUAAACAGCUGUGCACACUGUCAGCACACAGUUUCAGACCAAGACAUCAAUGAAGCUCAUGGCCUGUACUUCUGUCCAUCUGGUUCCCUCACGGGACCUGCAGGACAUUUCAGGGUCAGACUGUCCUAUACAUUCAGCGCUGUCCUAAUGCUGGAGUUGUUCCUGUCUGAAGAACCUGUCCCUACUUGGUGCCCAAACAUCAUGGGGGUGAGAGAGGGUCUUGAAUGAGAGGGCCCUGAGCUCUCCUGGUCAUCACUGUGGUUGUCGUCACUGCUGUUAAGAGCAUUUGACCCUCAACAAGCUGGUUCUUGAACCACAGGUACCUGUUCAGGUUGUUGUUCGGCCCUCCUGCUCCUCAUAGGCUGGGUGCCUGCCCUUGUCAAAGGGGAUUCCCAGCUCCUGUUGCUGCUCCCUGCUGUGGACCCUGCCUUUCUGAUCUACCUCCUCAGGGGCCUGGGGAUGGCAUGGGGUCCAUGAGAUUCUUAGUUCUUACAUCCUUUGUUCCUCUAUUCACUCCCCUUGAGGAUGAGGCAGUAGCCCAGAUAGAUGACUGGGUGGAAGACACAAUGAAAAUGUUAAGACAUUGAAUGAAUGCACCGAGGACCCAAGACCUUCCUUUUCCUUCAGGAAAUAACCAGCUGCCUCUCUUCCUACCCAGCUGUAGGGCCCUGCAGCCCCUUAAUCACUGCUUUCAGCACCACUUCCCUUCCCUCCCCCCUCGCCCCCAUCAAAGAUUUCAUUUUAAAUUUUGCCUAGUUGUUCCAAUAGCCCUUCUGACUUUUUCCUUCUAGGAGUCCUCAAAAUUGACUCCAAAUCUGCCCCACCCCCACCCCCAUCAGCAUUGAAGUAGAACAAAGCCCAGCUUUGGAAGGAGCCAAGUCACAGGUCAGCUCAGAGCCCUGUGUGGUGGCUCCACGCUGAAAUGGGUAUAUUUUUGUAGUUGUUCUUAUAUAUUUUUUUUUCAAUUACUCAGUCUCAUUUAAAAAUACAGCAUAGGUUAAAAAAAAUGUAUGUUAUACAAAAUUCAAAAGGGAAAAGCUGGGGUACAUGGUGGGAAAAAUGAGUCUCUCUCUCCCCAUCUCCAGCCUCCCAGGCCCCUUCUCCACUAUCACCGGUUUCUGCCAGAGCCAGUGUGUGCAUAUCCAUGAUUGCAGAUGGCGUGUGGAUAUAGCCUUGCCCUAUUUUAAACCCUCAGACAAUAGCACACUGCACACAAUGUUUGCCUUUUCACUUGAAAUUCCUUGGCCAUUUAGCUCUUAAAGGCUUCAUACCACUCCACUAUGUAGAGGCUCCAAAGGCUGCACUGGGAUUUUCUUUCCUACUUUUUGCCCAUUACAAGUGAGGCUGCCGUGAAUAAGAACCCCUGUGUUUCGAUGUCCUUCUCUAGACUGUUUCCUGAGUAGUUAGGAGACUGUUUCAUGUUUCAUUUCCAGAAAAGAGGAUGUGGGAAGGGAGGGGUCUUCUGGGGCCUGCUGGGAAAUCAGGGCUCUGCUGUGUACCACCACCUCACCUUGGAGAGCCGGUUGUCACGUUGAGGUGACGUGGGAAAACUCCCAUGAGAACCAUCUGGAUGACAUGCAAUAACACGUUGGUCAAGGUGCUUUAAGAAGUUGAAAACAUACAGAUAUGAGAAGUGUAACUAAUGGGGUAGAUACUGCUGGAAUCGUAUCCUGGAACCAGCCACAUUGCUUUAUGUUUGGAUAGAUGGUAUCCAGAAGGUUGAGAAUGCCCAAUCCAGAUGGACUCAGGGAAAAACUGGGAAUCUAUUGUUGGCUGUAGGAGUUCAUGGGGGAGGGCUGCCUUUAGGCAUGGCUAGAUUCAAAUGCUCAAAUGAUGUCACCAGGAUUCAGUUUCUUUAUCUUAGCUCCAUCUUGUAAUGUACAGUGGUAGCCCCUUGUCUAUGGCGAUAUGUUCCAUGACCCCCCAGUGGGUGCCUGAAACUGCAGAUAGUACCACACGCUAUAUAUACUAUGAUAAAGUUCAGUUUAUAAAUUAGGCACACUAAGAGAUGACCAAUAAUAACUAGUAAUAGAAUAUAACAAUUAUAACAAUAUACUGCAAUGAAAGUUAUGUGAAUGUAGUCCCUCUCCCUCUCCCUCUCCUUCUCCCUCUUCCUUCUCCCUCUUCCUACUCCCCUGCCCCCCUCUCUUUCUGAUAAACAGUCUGAUAACUGAGAUAGCUACUAAGUGACUGAGGAACAGGUAGGGUAUACAGCCAGGAUACGCUGGACAAAGGGAUGAUUCACAUCCCGAGUAGGAUGGGGUGGGAAGGCCUGAGAUUUCAUCAGACUACUCAGAAUGGCAUGUAAUUUAAAACUUAUGAACUGCUUAUUUCUGGAAUUUUCCAUUUAAUAUUUUCAGACCACAGUCGACCAUGGAAAACUGAAACUGUGGAAAGGAAAAGGGAUAAGGGAGGACUGCUGUGUUGGCUCCAUUCUCAUCUGUCUCCCCUUGUGGGGACAAAAUGGCCAUGACGGUCCCAGCCUCGUGGCCUCUCCGGCUUUUGUACAACAGAAAAGGGAGAGAACCUUCUUCCCUAGUAGUUGAACCAAAGGCCCAAACCGACUAUGAUUGGCCAGUCUUUGGUCAGGUGACUAUCCCUGAACCAACCAGAGACUGUGAUUCUCUGGUUGUCCCAACCUUUUCUGGGACUCAAGGCAAAGUCAGCCUCACUGGAGUCCUGUGGACUGAGAAGAAAAGAGUAAAUACAUGAACAUAAACCACGUGCUGGUCUGACAUUAAGUGAAAUGGACACGGGACCAUCGAGAGGGCACACGUUUUCACCGCAUUUGGGGACUUACUGUUCAUGAACCUGUCAUUUAAAAAUUCGGGCUCUGACAGCUGAGUUCCCAUCAAGGAAUAUCUCCGCUUUCUGUUUUGGGGGUGGUAAAAACAACUAGUCCCAUGCAUGUGUUUGGCAAGAAAAAUGUUUACGUACUGAAAUGGCCUUUAAAAAUGUUUCUUUAUGAGACAGAAGAAAACGCUUCCUCCUGCCGAGUAAAGAGGUUUGCCCUACAAAGAGCUGGCAAGAUGAUUUUCGUUUUCCAUCAGAGCUGAGGGAAAGCAAACACACGAAGGCUGAGCACCCUCCCUGGCACAGCCCAGCAGAGGGCAGGUCCCGGAAACCCCUCCGUAUGUGUGAGGAUGUUCAAAUCAGAGCAAAGAGGGGAAAAAGCAAUAAUGGUUUUUUGAUCCAACAUGUGGUUGCUCUUAUAAUAAGCUCAGCCAUGUAUUUUGUCAAAAGGGAAAAGGGAGGAGAUCCCCAAAUAUGCUCCCUCACCUUCAAGUUUUGAAAGAGCUGAUUAUGGGAUGCAGAUGACCCAGAAUUAUGCUAGGAAGUGAUCGCUGAAAUAAAUAAUUGGUGAGCAGAUCUUCAUGUCAUGGGAGCCUGUCAGUCUCGCUGAGCUCCGGGGAGCCCAGCAGUGCUGGCAGUCAGUGGACAGGCCUUCCUGAGGUACGCACCCUGCUCGGAGCCCUGUCCCAUCUCACCAUUCAGCCUCCAGAGCUCCACCCUAAUGUCACUUCCUGAAGAAAGCCCUUCCUGGCUGCCCAGACCAGGCUGGAUCCCGCCACGUGCUCCGAACACCCUGCACUUCGGCUUCACAGCAGCGAUCUGAUUGUCUUGCAAUAGUUACCUAUGGAGUGAACUAGUAACUGAUGUCUGCCUUCCUCUCGACCUCCACCUCCUCCCAGACAUGAGCUCAGGGAGGGCAGGAACUCUGUCUUGCUCAUAGUCGGAUCUCCAGCUCCUGGCACAAUCUGAAUGCUCAUUACAUAUUGAUGAGUGAGGAAGUGAAUGAAAGGAUCGUUAGGAUGUUGUCAGACUGAGAUGGCAGGGAGGAGAAAUUCAGGAGAAAGACAGCCCAAAGGGCCCAAAAUAUUAGAGCAUGGAGCUUAUGACAGUACCAGGCGAAGUCGAGUUCAUUCAUAAAUUCCAGCCUUCGUGAAUGAGCUGGACGUCCGGAAGGUGCCUCGUUCUUUCCCUCACCACUGUGUCCCAAGUGCCCACCAUGAAUGAGUAGGCAGAAGAAGUUUCCCAGCUUCUGUGGGCCCUUUUACUUGUCCCCAGAAAGUCCCCUUUGCACUCCCUCCGUAGCUUUUCUCACCUCCCCCACUCUGUUUAAACUCCUCACUCCACUUCCUCCUGAAAUAAAGGUCA